AUUGAACGCUGGCGGCAGGCCUAACACAUGCAAGUCGAACGAGUGGCGGACGGGUGAGUAAUGUCUGGGAAACUGCCUGAUGGAGGGGGAUAACUACUGGAAACGGUAGCUAAUACCGCAUACCAUCGGAUGUACCCAUAUGGGAUUAGCUAGUAGGUGGGGUAAAGGCUCACCUAGGCGACGAGCCCUAGCUGGUCGGAGAGGAUGACCAGCCACACUGGAACUGAGACACGGUCCAGACUCCUACGGGAGGCAGCAGUGGGGAAUAUUGCACAAUGGGCGCAAGCCUGAUGCAGCCAUGCCGCGUGUAUGAAGAAGGCCGUCGGGUUGUAAAGUACUUUCAGCGGGGAGGCGUUACCCGCAGAAGAAGCACCGGAUAACUCCGUGCCAGCAGCCGCGGUAAUUC
rnacentral:rRNA from 1 species